rnacentral:rRNA from 1 species
UACAGAGGGUGCGAGCGUUAAUCGGAAUUACUGGGCGUAAAGCGUGCGUAGACGGUUAUCUAAGUCGGAUGUGAAAGCCCCGGGCUCAACCUGGGAAUUGCAUUCGAGACUGAAUAGCUAGGGUACGGUAGAGGGAAGUGGAAUUUCCGGUGUAGCGGUGAAAUGCGUAGAUAUCGGAAGGAACAUCAGUGGCGAAGGCGACUUACUGGACGACUGUUGACGCUGAGGUGCGAAAGCGUGGGGAGCAAACAGG